GUCCCUUUCUCUAAAAGCACUGGGGAUCAAGAAGGAAGAAGACAGAAGAGGGGGGAACAGCAAAAUCCUGAGGAGGCCAUUCCUUUCACCUCACCCGGCUUGCCCCCGAGUAGCGCUGGUGACGACAAACUUUGCCAAACUGACUCCCAGCUCUCCUCCACCGCGUCUUGGUGACUGUAGCUUCACCCCUGCCCUUUCUCCUAAUAAGACCCACUUUUCUGAGGAGAAAACACCACCACCAACAGUAUUCUCUUCUGUACAACUGUGAUGUAUUGAUGUUUGUAACAUAUCUGUCUUGUUCCAAGUCACGGCUGGAGUGUCUCGUCCACGGACAAGGGUUUGAAAUUUAAACUUCACCAUGGACAAGGGUCACUAGAGCCAGGUCUCCCUCUUUCUCCCCCUUCCUCUCUUCCCUCCCCUCCAUGCCCCCCUUUCCUUAUUUCUCUGCCAGCUAGUCUCAAGUAACACAACCCCAGGCUUCAGCCUCCAUUUAGGUAACUUUGAAUCCAAUGAGAUUGAAGUGACAUGCCUCCAGGGCAUGAUCCUUUGGGAAAGGGCUUUUCCAGUGACGAGAGGAAGAAGGGGUCACCUCUGGGUCCCCUGCAGCCCUGAGCUCAGUUUCCUGUUUCUGGUUUCUCCCGGCUUAUAUGACAGCAUGCAAAUGCUUUCCCUCAGCCAGGGGGACCCAAACCAGCCUGGCUCCGCCCCCAAAAUAACAGUUACCUCUGCAUUUUCUGUUGCCAUGUUUCUGGCUCUAGAAGUAUCUGAUGCAGGGCUGUAUUGUAGGAUAUCCAUGUAUCUCAGAGUAGUCUAUUUUUUAUCUGUUGGGAUAAAAAGUAUGUAGGCAUAUGUGUGUUUUUAGCAAAUUUGUAAUAGGGAUAUUAAGUCUCAUGGCUUCUUUUGUAAUAUAGAAUAACAUUUUAGGAGUUUUAUGGUUGGUCAUUCUCAUAGCUGAUAUUUUCUGGUCUCUCUCAUUUCCUCCCAUCACCCCUUGGGCUUUCUUCCUUUUGAUUCUGACUUUCUGAGGAUGGGGAAGACAUUGGAUUCUGACUUCCUCAUGCAGGCAUUUCCUGACACUUGGCCUCGAAUCUGUGGACACUGUUACUAUCCUCGUUCUGUCUGUGUGUUUCUCCUAUUUAUUGUUCUUAAGAAUCCAGGGCACAGAUGCAGGAGUGAGACCAGGGGAAGCAGGGCUACGGAUGGCCCUCAAAAUCAGGAUGGAAUGUGGGCUGGUUCAGCUCCUUCUCCCCCACCCUGCUGGCAUUUUGAAGAGACUGAAUUUUCUCAUCCCCAGAGAUCUUGGGACUGAAAAUCUCACGCAAGCAAACUUACCCCUGAGGUCCAGAACACACCCAAGCCCCUCUUGGCUGGCCUGUUGCCAUCUCCAGUCCCCCGCUCCCCUGUAACAUCAAUUGGAUCCGAAGGCCAGAGCAUUUUCAGGUUCUUACAAACCUCAGAGAACAUGCUGGGCCUCAGAUCUCAUCAACUUCUUAUCAGUUCCUCAUUUUAAUCCAUUUCCAACAUCCUCACCAAAAAAACAAACAAACAAACAAAUAAUAGACAAGCUUACAGCCAAACCCUGAGAAGACAUGUCCCCCAGAAUCUGCCAUCUCAUCUCCCCUUCCCUUCCCAGCUGCCUGGCUCCAUAGCACCAGAGACUUGUGGCAAGGGCAGUGGUGUCUUUCCAGCUUCCACCUAUCCGGGCCCUGAGGAGUUUCUGUACUGUCUUAAUUCCACCUGGCAGCUUCCAGCCUCAGGUGGGCAGAGGACAUCUCAUGAAGCAGGAUCUUCAGCAGAAAGCAAUUCUCCACUCUUCAACUCAUGCAGGAAGAUGAAGAAAGGCCAGAUGAUUUCCAACUUGCAUUCAUUUAGGUGUUCAUACCCCCAUCUGCCUCACUAUCAGCUUCAGGACUCUGGCCUCUGCCCAGAUCAGAGUUCUGAGCUGAAUCCAGGCCCCCAUGGCAAUGAACCAUCCCCUUGGAUAAACUCCAAGAGGAAACGAAUCCAAGGACAAAUGUAGAGUUUUCCCACCUCCAAAAUUCCUGGUAAUCUGGUUUGAACCAGAGCCCAAUAAAAUAGACUAAAUUUUUAAAAACUUUUGCACAGGAAGAAAAUAAAAUUGUCUCUCAGUAGUUCACUAGGUUUGAUGCCCAGAUAAGCAAAUACUCUAUCCUGUGGCUGUUUUCAUCUAGAGAGAUAUUGGGAAGUUUGGGUUUCUAUCUACUGCCCCUGGUUUUCUUAACCUGGAAUUUCUCCUGAACAUCCCCAAAUGCCAGCCUGAAGAAGUGGAUUCGGAAGAGGCUCUGGUUAAUCCAGUGGUCCCUCAUCUUUUUCCCCUCACAAUUGUGACUGUUCAUUCCUCUCUGCAAAGAUCCUGAAAAGAUCCAAGGGCUGGCUAGGAUAGGGGAAGGGGGGGCAGUUCUCCCGAAGAAGAAACCAUCUGCCUGGAGGAGGGCUGCGAGCGAGCGAGUCUCCGAAAGCCACUGUUGUGUGAGAGAACGAAGUGGUCAGUUUCAGCUGGGUUUAAGGAGGUGCUUCUCAGGGGCAGGGCUGCCUCACCAUGGAAGUCGGUGCUGUGUUGGGGCAUGAGCUGCUUAAAAAGAAGCUAGAUGAUGCACAAAAUGGAUGUUGCAGAGGGCCCUCACAUUGCAUGGCAACUGGACUGAACAACCAGGGAAAUUCAUCCCCCUCCCCCAGGGAGGUCUGUAUGUGAUUUGGACAUCUGGGUGCAGGCUCAAGGCAUCAGGCAAAAGGAGGGAGUACAGUUAGCAGAAACUCAAAUUCUAGGAUCUGGAGUUCUCUGCAAGAGUGCCGGGGAAGGAAGUGGCAGCAGGAUACCCUGCUUCCCUGCUGCUUCCUAUCUUGGGCAAUUUUAAUGACCCUGCCAGUCAUUCAUCUAACCCAUCCCCAGUGCCCUAACAGGAACCACACUGGGUAGGAUGAGGCUUAAUGCUACCUUCCCAGACCAGCCAAGAAAUCGUCCCAUCUCUGGCUGGCCAUCUCAUGGUGCUUCAGCUCUUCUGCCCAGACCCUGUGCCCUCACAGGCCUGAGGCUUUUUGUACAAGAGAUGCAAUUAUCUUUUAUCCACUAGCCAGCGGUCUAACUGCCCAGGCAAUAGCAAAUGGCACCACUCCAAAAGGGCUUUUUUUUUUUUUUUCUGGCAAAUAAAACAGAAAAUCCCAUUCAAGACAUUUGAAAUUCCCCACCCAAUGAAGCAAGUCCAGAAGGACCAAAAGAGAGAGGCAGCUGUAAUCCAAUUUUGCAGCAAAACAAGGCUUCAGCUGCCAGUCUCCCACAUCUGUAGCCCCUUCCCCAGUGAAUCUGGAUACUGCAUUCUCCAAGGAGAGUAUUUUAUACAAGAGGUGGUUUGGAGGAGGCGAGGCUUCCCUCCCCCUAAUUGUGUAUUGUGGGCUUGGAGGAGGUGAGGCUUUGUCCUCAGGGUGACCCCAAGUCCAGGCUGUUGUAGGUGGUUUUAUCAUGAAGUGAGGCAAGACAAUAGGGUGGCAUGAACUGACUGAGCAGAUACUCUCUCCCAAAACAAAAUGAAACAAAAACCCAGUUCCCAAGAUCCCCCUUUGAGGCUCUGUCCUACAGAAAUAUGUCACAUUGGUGGCUACAAUGGCAUGACAAUUCUGGAAAACGAAGGAGACUCCCAAUUCUGUCUCAAGAUGCUCUCAAGGGUCCUACACAGAUCAUCCCACACUUCUUGCCUCCCUGAGCUAAUCCAGGUUUGGAAAACACAGAAGGAAGCACAUGAGAAGAUGCCUAAGAGAUUCAGAUUUCUCCACGGCUUUGGCUUAUGGCCCCCUGAUCUUCACUAGGGUUUUGGGCUCUCUCCGAUAGGCCUGACAUCGAAGCUCCAUGUGCCUAAUGGACAGGAAAGAAGAAGGUCAGCAGCUGCUGGGCUGGGGGCAGCUGACCUGUUUGCUCUCCAGACCUACCCUGGCUUCAGUCCCAGGCCAAGGGCUGGCAACGUCAUUUUCUGUGCCAGGAACUCAGGGUUGUCCCCCAGUGUAGGCCUGUGGCACAUAGUAGACACCCAACCAGUACUCUUUUGAGUGAGAGAAUGUGUAAACGAUUGACUUCUGAGUGAGUAAAUACAGGAAUUCAUUGGUUCUUGCCUGGCUUGACGAUAUUGCUAACUGGGAAAGAAGGAGAUGCCCGCCCCCCUGUAAACCGCACCAAUUAAAGCCUGUAAGCCCCACCAAUGCCAUUUGCCCCUUGACUCAGUUGGGGGCAAGUGAAUGUCCAAAUUUGACAUUCGUCUGCCCUAAGGGCCACAGUCUUCUCAGAGCUACGCUUCCAGGGGCCCCACAGGGCA
rnacentral:lncRNA from 1 species